UACGUAGGUGACAAGCGUUGUCCGGAUUUACUGGGCGUAAAGCGUGCGCAGGCGGUUCGCCAAGUCAGGUGUGAAAUCCCCGGGCUUAACCUGGGAAUUGCGCUUGAAACUAGCGGGCUUGAGUGUGGCAGAGGGGGGUGGAAUUCCACGUGUAGCAGUGAAAUGCGUAGAGAUGUGGAGGAACACCGAUGGCGAAGGCAGCCCCCUGGGUCAACACUGACGCUCAUGCACGAAAGCGUGGGGAGCAAAAGGG
rnacentral:rRNA from 1 species